GGGGGAGAUAGAUGAAUAGAUGGGAGAGAGAUGGAGGUGAGGUGAUGGAGUAUGUCGGCCAAAUUUGGAUUUGUCUUAAAGGAAGAUCAACGUGGCGGCCGUGCCCAAACGAGAGACUAGCAGCCAAGUAGGAACUCCUGUGUCCUACCUUUCUCUCUCUCUACAUUUCGAUUGCUUUCCUUCUUCAUUUUUCUCUCUCUAUAUAUUAUAUAUUAACAAACUAUGGGUUCCAAGGCAACCGUUUUAGCUUUAUGCGAUUGAAACAACACAAUCUUUCUUACUUUUUAUUUACCCCCAAAAAAAAAAAAAUCAACAAAACAUGGAAGGGGAGUGUUGUUCAAGUUCCAGCUCCACUUCCACCACCACAACCACCGAGAAGCGCAAGCACAGGCAACAACAAGACAAGCCUUAUAGAGGCAUAAGGAUGAGGAAGUGGGGCAAGUGGGUUGCUGAGAUUAGAGAACCCAAUAAGCGUUCUAGGAUUUGGCUUGGCUCCUACUCAACGCCCAUCGCCGCCGCGCGUGCCUACGACACCGCUGUUUUCUACCUUCGAGGUCCUUCCGCCAGGCUUAAUUUCCCCGAUUUAAUAUACCACCAGGACGACCUACGGGACAUGUCCGCUGCUUCUAUACGCAAGAAAGCCACAGAAGUUGGGGCUCAGGUGGACGCCCUACAGCAAACGGGCCUCCAUGCAUCAGAAAAGAACUCCAACCGAGUAGUUCAAGAGAAACCUGACUUGAACCAGUAUCCGACCCCAGAAAAUUCAGAUGAAGAGUUAAAGAGGAUCGUUGAUUAGUUAGUAACUGUAACUCCUUGUAAUCAAUUUAUUUUUGUUUUCUUUAAUCUUUUUUGAGGUUAUAUAGCUACCCAGCCGCCAUAUGUGCCUGAGAAAAUGUCAGACACAAAGGAAAAUGAAGGGGUGUGUUAAAGAAUUAAAAAGAGAAGGAUUCUAUUUCUAUAUGGGUAAUUGAACGGAGGCAAGUCUCCGCUCUUGUAUGAGAGAAGUGGGUAAACGUUGCAAAAUAGUUGUUUUUAGUUAUUAGUUAGUUAAGCCAUCAUCAAGUUAAAAUCUGUGUUUGUCUUGUAGUAGCAAUAGAAGUAGUGUGUGUUGUUGAUUCUCUUAUUAUACGAUUCAAAUAAUAUGGUUUGAAAAGUAUUAUGACGAAGAGGAAGGAUAAAC
rnacentral:misc_RNA from 1 species